rnacentral:misc_RNA from 1 species
AUGUGUUAGUGAUUGAAAUGGUUAGCUUUUGGCGAGGCGCGCAUCGAGCCAAAACUAUGAAUGAAAAGCACGACCGCGC